rnacentral:misc_RNA from 1 species
UUUGUUGUUGUUUUCCCCCCAAUUUGUGGCAUUUGACAUUUUGAGAACAUUUCUUUGCCAUUUCUUUUGAUGUUUGGCAUUUUCAACACUUGACAAAUUUUCAACUUUUUCUUGGUUUUCUUUUGAACAUUUUAAAAGUUACCCCAUUUGUAGUGAGGGUGCUUAUUUUUGAAGCAUAGGAGUUUUCAUUUUGUUACUCCUCUUUUCUUUGAUGCAAUUGCAAACUUUUUGAUUUUUCAUUUCAUUUCUUGAACUCAAAUUUUGAAUAAUUUUUGUGCCCAUUCCCUUUGAUGACAAAAUGUGGUAGAAUGUGGAUGAUGGAUGGUUGCAUGGUUUCAAGGGUCACUUUGGAAUAAACGGUAGCCAAGGAGUUAUCACACCACAAGGUACGCUUGACUAGGCCUGAAUCCAUGGGUCCAAAGGAUACUAGCAUGACACAUCCUAGGGUGUUUUAGAAGCAUUCUAAUGAGCAAAGUCUUAAGAAGAAAAAAGUAUCUACAAGGGCCUUAUGUACACUUGUCAUGUUUCCCAAUUAGAUGUUUUCACAAAUAUUUUCCUACAAUGCAACUACAUGCCAUGAUGCAACUAACAUUUAUACAACCUAAUGCAAAUGCUUCUAUCAACUAGUAUGCCAUAUAAACUAAAUGCAACUCCUAGAAUCACAUUGGUUUGUACCGCAUCAAUCAAAAUAAAGCCACAUAGUCAUUAACAUAGAGAGGAAAAAGGAGAUUGGAAAGAUCAUACCAUGCAGUCUUCAUAUUCCUCAUGCCUCGGAUGUGGCGUAGUCGAUCAAUGUGAUAGGAGGAUAACGCACAAAAACGAAAACAAAACAAAACAAAGCACUUGCA